UCGAGAAUAAUUCGCAAUGGACGAAAGUCUGACGACGCGACGCCGCGUGAGCGAUGAAGGCCUUCGGGUUGUAAAGUCCUGUCGUGGGGGACGAACGCUUCAGACCUCAUACGUCUGGAGUUUGACGGUACCUCAGGAGGAAGCCCCGGCCAACUCCGUGCCAGCAGCCGCGGUAAUACGGGGGGGGCAAGCGUUGUUCGGAAUCACUGGGCGUAAAGGGCGCGUAGGCGGUUCGGUUUGUCAUAUGUGAAAUCCCUCGGCUUAACUGAGGAAGUGCAUAUGAAACGGCCGAACUUGAGUUCGGGAGAGGAGAGCGGAAUUCCCAGUGUAGCAGUGAAAUGCUUAGAUAUUGGGAGGAACACCGGUGGCGAAGGCGGCUCUCUGGACCGACACUGACGCUGAGGCGCGAAAGCUAGGGGAGCAAACGGG
rnacentral:rRNA from 1 species